AACCUAGCACACCUGCGGUGUGUACCUGCGGAGGGAUCAUUACCGAGUGUAGACCCCCCCUAAAAAAGGGGGCCAACCUCCCGUCCUUUUGCUUUGGGCAUCCCCACUAAAAUUAGGGGGGUUUGCUUUUUAAGAACCUUCUGCUUCGGUGGGGUUAACCCCCACCGGAAUACCCUCAAAAAUUCUUGUAUAACCGUUCUGUCCGAGGGGUUUGAUAAAUAAAAGCGAAAAACUUUCAAC
rnacentral:misc_RNA from 1 species